CACAAAAUGACAGGCACUGUUUUACUCCUCUUUGAUCAUGAGUGAGACUACACAGCAUUUCAUAUUAACUGACCAUUCAUUAUUCCUCUGGCCAAAACGAAGUGUAUACCUGUGUAUACGCCACAGCCAGCAGAGUCACUGCGGCCAUCUUGGUCCUUCGAGGGAGGGGAAUUCUCCGGGACAGGAAGUAGAGCGCUGUAACGGCAGUGACUGAAGUGAUUCCCUGCGAGGAGGAAAGAGUCUCAUCAAGUGCCAGGAAGAAACGUCCCACCCUCCCGAUUUCCGCUCGCCUUCCAGAACCAGUCCAUCUGGCUUCCCUGUGGGGUGACUACCAAGUCAACAUCUCCUGUCCUUAUUGGGAUCCAGGCCACCGGCUCCAAGUACGUAUUGCAUGAUUCUACUAGAGAGUCCUACUGCCAUCCCAAA